UAUGGAUUAAUGAUGUGAUUUCAAACUGCGUUAUCUUUCUGCAUUCUCCUUUCAUGGAAUUGAAGAAGGUUCUUUUUACUCUGAUAUGAUGAUAUCCAUU